rnacentral:lncRNA from 1 species
GGCAUCAUUCAUUCAUUCAUCCACCACUACUUUCACUUUUCUUUCAUUAUGUGUUUCUAAGCUCCUAGGGCUAUUCAGCUGUAAUUUCAUAAUGGAUUCUGAGAUUAAGUGAAUUAAUGCAGUGACUUCUUAACCAACUUAAAUACCAUAAGAUGCAAGUGAGUUGGAACAUACCAUAUGAUCAUAAAUCCUUAUGGCUCCUUUAUCUACUUGCUAAACGGCUUCAUCACUGUACUUAACAUGUAUGUAUCACUUCCACAGAGACUUGAAAAAACAUAAUUAAUGAAGUUAUAAGGAGAAACUAUUUUUCCAUCUAUUAAUUCUUAAACCUUAUCUUAUAUUUU